AGGAUCCUGCGUCGGUGUGAAGGGUUCAUUACUCCGGCAGCGCGAAGAUCCUCUUCAGUGAUACUACUGUGGAGAGGACAAAAUGACACUGAAUCAAACUUUGUAAAGUUUACAACUUCACAGUCUCGCAAAUCUUUGGCCACAACAAUGACAGCACCUGUUUUGGAGCCGAACUGUGAUGUAACUCCCACUUGGAACGUGGCAAAAACAGAUCUUACCAUAUGCAGUGCAGAUGAUGUGUGUCUCUGGGUAGGACUUCCACAGAAUCCUAUCACACCACGAUGGAACAUUGAUUCGCACCUACAGAAAGAGAUUUAGGUAUAAAUCAGCAAUGUCUUGUAUAUUUGUCUGCCUACAAAUUGAAUUCACAGACUGUACUGUAUGUAGUAAAGGGUGCCUUCAUUCCUGUUAUUUCAGAUGUUCCUUUUUUUAGACUGUGGGUUAAUUCUUAACCUCCUAUUUUUAGUGGCUAUGGCAGCUGUUGUCAACUAUCCCUACAGACACCUUAAAUAGGAUUAAGUUGCACAUAAAAAUAUCAUAAGAAGUGAGCCUGUAUACUUAGAAUGCUACUACAGUAUUUUUUCAUUGUUGUUGUUCUUUGCUUGUGCAGUAUGUAUUAUAUAUUUAGCAUCAGAGUCUACAAUACAAUAAACCUACAGGCUGAAAGUA